GAUGAACGCUGGCGGCGUGCCUAAUACAUGCAAGUCGAGCGAACAGAUAAGGAGCUUGCUCCUUUGACGUUAGCGGCGGACGGGUGAGUAACACGUGGGUAACCUACCUAUAAGACUGGGAUAACUUCGGGAAACCGGAGCUAAUACCGGAUAAUAUUUCGAACCGCAUGGUUCGAUAGUGAAAGAUGGUUUUGCUAUCACUUAUAGAUGGACCCGCGCCGUAUUAGCUAGUUGGUAAGGUAACGGCUUACCAAGGCGACGAUACGUAGCCGACCUGAGAGGGUGAUCGGCCACACUGGAACUGAGACACGGUCCAGACUCCUACGGGAGGCAGCAGUAGGGAAUCUUCCGCAAUGGGCGAAAGCCUGACGGAGCAACGCCGCGUGAGUGAUGAAGGUCUUCGGAUCGUAAAACUCUGUUAUUAGGGAAGAACAUACGUGUAAGUAACUGUGCACGUCUUGACGGUACCUAAUCAGAAAGCCACGGCUAACUACGUGCCAGCAGCCGCGGUAAUACGUAGGUGGCAAGCGUUAUCCGGAAUUAUUGGGCGUAAAGCGCGCGUAGGCGGUUUUUUAAGUCUGAUGUGAAAGCCCACGGCUCAACCGUGGAGGGUCAUUGGAAACUGGAAAACUUGAGUGCAGAAGAGGAAAGUGGAAUUCCAUGUGUAGCGGUGAAAUGCGCAGAGAUAUGGAGGAACACCAGUGGCGAAGGCGACUUUCUGGCCUGUAACUGACGCUGAUGUGCGAAAGCGUGGGGAUCAAACAGGAUUAGAUACCCUGGUAGUCCACGCCGUAAACGAUGAGUGCUAAGUGUUAGGGGGUUUCCGCCCCUUAGUGCUGCAGCUAACGCAUUAAGCACUCCGCCUGGGGAGUACGACCGCAAGGUUGAAACUCAAAGGAAUUGACGGGGACCCGCACAAGCGGUGGAGCAUGUGGUUUAAUUCGAGGCAACGCGAAGAACCUUACCAAAUCUUGACAUCCUUUGACAACUCUAGAGAUAGAGCUUUCCCCUUCGGGGGACAAAGUGACAGGUGGUGCAUGGUUGUCGUCAGCUCGUGUCGUGAGAUGUUGGGUUAAGUCCCGCAACGAGCGCAACCCUUAAGCUUAGUUGCCAUCAUUAAGUUGGGCACUCUAAGUUGACUGCCGGUGACAAACCGGAGGAAGGUGGGGAUGACGUCAAAUCAUCAUGCCCCUUAUGAUUUGGGCUACACACGUGCUACAAUGGACAAUACAAAGGGUAGCGAAACCGCGAGGUCAAGCAAAUCCCAUAAAGUUGUUCUCAGUCCGGAUUGUAGUCUGCAACUCGACUACAUGAAGCUGGAAUCGCUAGUAAUCGUAGAUCAGCAUGCUACGGUGAAUACGUUCCCGGGUCU
rnacentral:rRNA from 1 species